rnacentral:rRNA from 1 species
GCUGGCGGCGUGCCUAAUACAUGCAAGUCGAGCGAACAGAUAAGGAGCUUGCUCCUUUGACGUUAGCGGCGGACGGGUGAGUAACACGUGGGUAACCUACCUAUAAGACUGGGAUAACUUCGGGAAACCGGAGCUAAUACCGGAUAACAUUUGGAACCGCAUGGUUCUAAAGUGAAAGAUGGUUUUGCUAUCACUUAUAGAUGGACCCGCGCCGUAUUAGCUAGUUGGUAAGGUAACGGCUUACCAAGGCGACGAUACGUAGCCGACCUGAGAGGGUGAUCGGCCACACUGGAACUGAGACACGGUCCAGACUCCUACGGGAGGCAGCAGUAGGGAAUCUUCCGCAAUGGGCGAAAGCCUGACGGAGCAACGCCGCGUGAGUGAUGAAGGGUUUCGGCUCGUAAAACUCUGUUAUUAGGGAAGAACAAACGUGUAAGUAACUGUGC